GCAGCUGCCGAGUCACCUGCCAAACACUUUUAAGUGAUUUUCCUGUGCAGAUCAGCCUGUUUGCACGCCCCGAAACAUCUUGAUAGGGACCUCAGAUCAAAAUCCUUCCUUCAUCAAAGUUCUUCAUAUAUGUCUUUUCUAUCUGACUUCAAAAUUUCAGCCCUGUUGAAGUCGUUUUAAGACAUGUACACCAUUCAAAGUGGGAGCUAUUCAGUAUGAUCGUUCCUGUGCAGAUCAACCUGCUUGCACGCCGAUAAACGUCCUUUUCGGGACAUCUAAUCAAAAUCAUUUCUUCAUCAAAGUUGUUAAUCUCUGUCUCUUAUAUCUUAUCUCCAAAUUUCAGCCCUGUUGGAGCAGUUUUGAGACCUGUAUAACAUUUGAAGUGCGAUCUGUUCAGAAGCAAAUUUGCUCCGAAUUUCAACAAGAUGUCGAAUGAACCUAGACUCGAUUUUCCAAUGCUUGACUCAACAGGCUCGGAAUACCAUGGCUGGGUAACCAACGUUGAGAACCAUCUCACUACGAGAGGGAUAUUGCCCAUAAUACAGGCACCUAACCAGGGCCUUGUGUUCCAACGAACACCCACAAAGCAUGCUGCUCAAGUAAUUAUCUUGAUGUGAUACCAUAUGGAUCAAUUGAAGCAUUGGUUCAAGCAAUGCCAUGCAAGUACCCAACUAGCUGCAAGCUACAAGGAGUAUAGGCAAUUGAGAGAGCAAGAAAUCAAUCUUGCUGAAGAUGAAGAUAUCAAUCUUGCUGAAGAUGAAGAUGGUGAAGAUAUCACUCUCACCACUGAGGACUUCAAAGUUGUAAAGAGCACGAGGAUGCCGCAGACUUUGAUUAGAAUAGUCCUUUUCUAUUUUCCAAUAAAACGGCAAAUGUGCCUUAGUCAACAAAUGACAAUUGUAUUGACUCUUUCUCAUGUGGCGUACCCAAUGAAGUAUGAUGUCUAGGAAAGUAAUUGAGAUCGGGGUAUUUAAGCGAGCCUCGCUCCACCAACAUCUCUCUACUUCCCUGGUCAUAUUUCAUUGGAAUUACCAAACGGAUUGGCAAUUACAAUUUGUAUAAGUUUGAUUUUAUUUUGGAAUAGAUUUUGGAAACUUUGAUGUAA